GCACUUCCAUCCUCGAUCCUGCGCUGACGUGAACCAGGCAGGACAAGACAGUCCGUGUCUCCUCCAGCACAAGGACCAAAACUGGAAAUAGGAACUGGAUUUAUAG